GAUAUAGGUCAGUGGCACAAGCACCUGCCUGGCAAGCAGAAGAUCCUGGGUUCAAUUCCCAGUAUC
rnacentral:tRNA from 1 species